CUGAUGCUCAUCCAAGAGUUGAAGAGAGUGAUUCUUCUGAAGAUGAGGUUGCUCCUCGAAAUACAAUUGGAGAUGUGCCCUUGGUGUGGUAUCGGGAUGAAAAACAUAUUGGUUAUGAUAUUUCUGGGAAAAAGAUAAAAAAGAAAGAAAAAGAAGAUAAAUUGCAGUCUUUCCUUGCGAGUGCAGAUGAUUCCAAAAAUUGGUGAGUUUUACAUCGUUAGGAUACAUGUGCUCUACCAUUUAUGUGCUAAAUAUGUUUUCUUGUUGUUAUGUUGCCUCACUUUUGCUUGGUGCAUUUUUACUAUAUUGCAAGCGCAAAAUUUAUGAUGAGUAUAAUGAUGAGAUUGUAGAACUCAAAAAGAAAGAGACCAAACUUAUUAGUAGAUUGCUUGAAGGAAAGGCACCGGAUGCUGACUUUGAUCCAUAUGCGCCUUAUGUUGACUGGUUCAAAUGGGAUGGUGCUAAACAUCCCCUUUCAAAUGCACCUGAACCCAAGAGACGCUUCACUCGUUCAA